AUUUUUCUGUACCUGUCCCAUGUGUGAUAUGUAGAAGCAACUUAAACAUCUCAACAACUUUACACUGUUAUUUCAACUUAAAAAAAACCAUCCAGUUGUGUUUUUUUUUCCCCAGAGAGUCAUAUUGUUGAGAUCCUUGAGGCUAUUAAGUUUUGCAACUUGAGGAAAUAGGUACCCAUUUCCAGAAGACAGGUAGAACAUUUUUCAGCUUGUUGACAUGAUUAUAACUGCUGGGGUUUUUUGAAGAAUGUAAUCACAUUACAUUUUAAGUUUUGUUCUGCUUUUUUUAAUACCACCUGUUACAGACUCCCAGUAAACAAUAAAAAUACAUUAUGUAGUUCUUUAGCCAGGUGUUCAUUGCUACAUUUCCAGAGAAUGAACUUUUCCUAACUAAUCUUCGGGAAAAAAAAAGGAAAUAAAUAACGUUUAAUAGAAGUUUUCAUUUUGUAAAGAAACUUUGAUUUAAUAAGCAUUUCUUUUAGCAGUGGUGCUGUUGUUAAAGGCUGUUACCCCUUGCUUGUAUUCUCAGCCUCUAAUUGAAUAGCCUUAACUCCCCCCACCCCGUUUGUCACAAGUGAAAUGAAUUUCCAAGCCAAAUUUGCCUUUAUGAAUGGGGUUAGCUCAGUUUAGUUACAUACACUCUCAGUUUGAAAGAUACAAACUUGAUUGUGGUUACACUGGCUCAGUUUAGAGAGCUCAUCUGGAGCCGGAAAAAAGACAAAAAGAAAUAUUUCACAGACAAAUUACUUCAUGAGUUGUAACAACUGAAGAGCUGAAACAAGGACACGGUGGAGGCUGGGCUCAGGCUGGAUAUCAUGUAACAUGGCUAUUCUCAUUAUGUUAAUGAAGAAUAUUAAAGUGAGUGAAACUUCACCAGCGCCAUCCGUUCAGUGGCGAGCAGGAAGAUAUUGUGGUAUGCUUCAUCUUGAACCACUCAGCCUUCAGGCACUCUCCUGUAUAUCCAGCACCUGCAGCAGCCCUGUGAAGUACCACAAUGACUAAACAGGACAAGUCAACAGAAGGAAAUGAUGGCAAUGAUGACAAGGAGGAAGGCAGUG
rnacentral:lncRNA from 1 species